rnacentral:rRNA from 1 species
AGGGUUCGGCCCUCGGCAAACGGCUCAGUAACACGUGGGUAACCUACCCUCAGGACAGGGAUAACCCCGGAAAACUGGGGAUAAUACCUGAUAAGUGGAUAUGUCUGGGACGACUUUCCGCUCAAAUGCUCCGGCGCCUGAGGAUGGGCCUGCGACCGAUUAGGUUGUUGGCGGUGUAAUGGACCACCAAGCCUGCGAUCGGUACGGGCGUUGAGAGACGUAGCCCGGAGAUGGGGACUGAGACACGGCCCCAGGCCCUACGGGGCGCAGCAGGCGCGAAAACUCCGCAAUACACGAAAGUGUGACGGGGGGACCCCAAGUGCUCUCGCGCAAGCGAGUGCUUUUGUGAAGUGUAAAUAGCUUUACGAAUAAGAGCUGGGUAAGACCGGUGCCAGCCGCCGCGGUAACACCGGCAGCUCGAGUGGUGAUCAUUAUUAUUGGGCCUAAAGCGUCCGUAGCCUGUUUGAUAAGUCCUUGGGCAAAUCCUGCCGCUUAACGGUAGGAAUUCUGAGGAUACUGUCAGACUUGAGGCCGAGAGAGGUCGGAGGUACUCCUGGGGUAGCGGUGAAAUGCUAUAAUCCUAGGGGGACCACCAGUGGCGAAAGCGUCCGACCAGAGCGGGCCUGACGGUAAGGGACGAAAGCCAGGGGCGCGAACGGGAUUAGAUACCCCGGUAGUCCUGGCCGUAAACGCUGUGGGCUAGGUGUUGCAUGCUCUACGAGGGCG